rnacentral:lncRNA from 1 species
AUUGCAUAUAGGGUGGUCUUAAAGAACCUUGAUGAAUUAAUGGCUAUCUUUAGAGCGCAGCAAGCCAGGAAACUAGAGCAACACUGGCAAGAUUAGUACAGGCAGACAUGUAGUCAUGAUACACAAGAAUAGGGGCAGAACAUGUUAACAUUACAUUUAACGUAAUCGCAUUGCGCAUACAAAGGUGCGUCAGAAGUUUCUGAAUUACCUGUAUUGAAAGAAAAGAAUCUUAUUUCUAAGUUUGUACAUCAUCUUCUUCGAAACACUCCCUUUGAGUAGCAAUGCGUGGUUCAUCCCAUCUCGGAAUGAGGUUUCAAAAAUAUUUUGCGUAAACGGGUUCAUAUGCUUUUGCAUUAUCACUGUAUAUCUUCAGCCCUGGUCAUCCCGGAAGCACAGCUUAAAUUGAGCGAGAGCCCGGGUUCAUACGCUUUUGCAUUUAACGCUGUAUAUCUUCACCCCUAGUUAUCCCGGAAGCACAGCUUAAAUUGAGCCGGAGCCCGUCAAUUUUAGAGAAAUUGUAAUUCCAGCCAGAGUCCUGAAUGAAAUAGCUUCGGUUCUUCAAGUUUAAAAUGAAAUGUUGUAUUAAGUCAUUAUGUUAAGAAAAGUGCAUUUUAAUAAGCUUGUCUUGAACUAAGAAGUUAAAAUCCUUAAAUAAUAUAUCUCAUGAACGAAGGAUUUAUAAAGCGUGUUUCUCUCUAUAUUUAAAUAAUAUUAAAAGUGUAGAUUUUAGGGAAAGGUUGUAAGAUCUAUCUCUACUUUUCCACAUCCACUGACUUAGAUCCUACAAUGAACCUGGCGAAUUCUCACACAGGCGUCAAAUAAAUACCAGAACAGAAGAAGGCUGCAAAAUAACCUUUAUUAAAUCAAACUAAAAUAACGACAGCACGGGCUUCGUGCGUUACAAAAACACCGUUCACUUGCGGCGAUAACUUAAACAUAGACGAGAAUACAAAAUCAAAUCUGAAAAAUAAAUGUAUUUACACUCAUGUCCUUAAGGAUAAUGCAAAAUCAGGCAAAGGAAGAGUUAGAAGCAAAAAACAAUGCUACAAUUCCAAAUCGCGGUACUCUACUAUUUCUUCCUGACUGUGGUUCAAUUCUUCACGCAAAGAAAAUUUUGAAUCCAUAUACCUAAUUAAAGCUUAUCAACAAAUUCAAGUACGAAGCCGACAUUCUGAAAACGGCUAUUACAGGAAUGCCAAUGAUAUAAAGUUCAAAGGCAUACGCAGUCAGCUCUAAUGGAUUUAAAGUUCCACCGGAGAGUUUUGACCAUGUCCACAUUGAUACUGUUCGCCCGUUACCUACACGUAAAGGUUUCAGGGAUUUGUUAAUAAUGACUGAUCGUUUUUCAAGAUGGGUUGAAGCACUUCAUAUAACAAAUCAAUCGGCAGAUGCAUUUGCAAAGGGCAUGAUUUCAAGCUGGCUAUGUAAUUUUGGGACGCCUCAUCGUAUACUUUUGAACAAAGACGACAGUUUGAAAGAUCAUCUUUUCUUAUCUUUGAGCAAAUAUUUUGACUUUCAGACCACUAGGACUACUGCGUACAAUCCACAAUCGAAUGGAUUAAUUGAGCAGACAGCACAGAACUAUGAAUGUUUGAAAUGCAUUUUCAGCGAAACAAGUAUUGGAUAGACCCUUUACCAUUUGUUCUUCUUGGAUUACGCACUGCUAUGGAAGAAGAUAUAGAAUACUAGCUGAGUUUCUUUACGGAAGUCUUCUCUGUUUACUUGGAGAGUUUAUUAUCAAGAUUCCUAAUAUCACGCAAUCAGAUUUUGUUCAGAGGUUAUAAACUGUUAUACGAGGCAUGAAAUCUUCUGCGAUGACUACUCAUACCAAUAAAGCCGUCUUUGUUUCAAAGCAACUUUCGAAUUGCUCGCAUAUUUUUGUAUGGAAACUCCUAUGUCGAAGGAUGAUGUAUGCUCACCGCCCCAGUGCCAACCUCAGAAGGAAAUCUCGCCUACGAACGAUCUCUACGCUAUUACACACAGUGAAAGAACUGUCAGGUUUUCGCCUGUUUUAAAAGAUUAUAUCUUCUAAUCGUUUUCACUGAGAGGGGGAAUGCAUAGCGCCUCCCAUAUUAUUUCUAAAAACUAUUAAUCUUUUGUGAAGGGGUAACUCCAUUAUUUUUCAGAUUUUAAAAAUAAUAAAAGUGAAAUUGUUCUUUUUCUCCCCUUUAUCGAAUUGAAAAUAAAUAAAAAAGUAUUUCUAAAUACUGUGACAUAAUCAGCAUUCACUGCAUGUUCUCCUUUUUUGCUUUUCAUGUAGAGCAAACUUUAAAAUAAAAAUCUGAGGUACUUGUGUGUUUCAGCAGCCCCCGAGAUUGAAUCGCCAAUCAACCGAGAUAUCUCGCCAAGAUCUGGCUACAUGUUCUUAUACCUCGCCACGUAAUCGUAUGUUAACACCGUGUUGCACUUGAGCUGUCGCUGUGUGUUCUUAUAUUAUUCAUUUUUGAUGAGGUUUACGAAUUCGCAUUUUGCUUAUUUAAAAAAAUAAACUCAUUGCUUCUUCUUCUUCUUUUUCUUUUUCUUUUUUUUUUUUUUUGGUUUGUGAACAUGAUGUUAAAAAUCUUUAAUUUACCAAAUAAUGAGGUGAUGCCAUACCAUUUUUUCAAGAAAGAGUUUUUUUUCCUGAAAAACGAGUAUACGAAAACGGCCACAACAUGCAACUUUAUGUUAAAGACGAAACCAUUUUGAGGUGCAAUGUUAAAAAAAGCGAGAGAAGAAGGGCCUUCGUACUGGAAACUGGUUCAGCGGUUCCGUAAGACCGUUCGUCACUGCUAUUAGAUUUAUGUGUUUUUGGACAGAGGAGCUGGUAUAACGAACAACUUAAUAUGUGUGAAAGUGCUGCCGUUGAUUGGAACAAUUAUAUAUGCGAAAAAAAGAAGAAAGAUAAGGAUAAGGAUUCUUAAAAAUAUUCUUAGAAUAUAUACGUUAUUAAUAUACGACAUGACACUGAAGAAAAUAACAGCAGGCAAGCUUCGGCAAAUUCAUGGAAAACAGUAUUCUGUGACAACAUCGACUGAAACAUUCUGAUUUCAUGAAUUCAAGCAGCUUAAUUCAGGACAUUGUUCAACGGAUCUGGAACAAUGAACUGGAACACAAGCAGGUGCAGAUUGUUCGUGAAUUACAAACUGCCAAUCAAAGAUGAGACACUAUGCCUUUAAUACCAACUUCUGAAGCUAACGCUUUUGAGGACGAAAUGGAUUUUUUCUAUGAAUGUUCUACAUUUUAUCUUUCUAUCCUGAGUAAAAUAUCAUCUUUUAUUAGUUUAGUUAGUUGUGGUUUAGCGGCCGAGUUAUUCAAAAAGCUGAACAUUUACUUUACGCACAACGUUUUUACCGAAUGGAUUAGGCGCAUGGCCAUUUUUAUGGUUUCCUACAUGAACCAGUUUCUCUUAAAAAGCUCUUCACAAAGGCAACUUUCUUUUGAAAUGUAGCCCUAACGUGUCUUGUUUUAUUUCAAUCAACCAAUCAGUUAUCUCUAACGAUUUAUAACGAUUUGUAACGAUUUAUUGUUAAAAAAUUGGGAUUACUGUCUGGCACUUUUGAAAUAAAAAAUUGCAUUCUUUUAGUUCGAAUUUUGAAUCUUAACGACAGAUACUGCCUGAAUAAAACCAAGAGCCAAAAUUUCAUUUAAAAUUCUUUUCAUAAGCCACAUUUGUUUAAAAAAAUAAACUGGGAUGUGUAGUAAUUAUAGAGUGAUACUUCUUUCACAAUUUGAAGCAAACUCCAUUGAUGGAACACAGCAAUAAUUUUUAUUUAACACUCAAAAUAGCGACAUAAAAACAAGAGGAGAAAACGCAUUCCAACAUUUUAAAAAUAAAAUAAAUACAUUUUUCGUUCGAGAGCCACACGU